UGUGUGUGUGUGUGUACAUGUACAUAUACGUAUACGUAUACAUAUAUACACACAGUAUACACAUACA